GCUGGGCGUGGUGGCGGGCACCUGUAAUCCCAGCUACUUGGGAGGCUGAGGCAGGGGAAUCGCUUGAACCAGGGAGUCGGAGGUUGCAGUGAGCCACGAUGGCAGCACUGCACUCCAGCCCGGGUGACAGAGCGAGACUCCGUCUCAA
rnacentral:SRP_RNA from 2 species